GACGAACGCUGGCGGCGUGCCUAAUACAUGCAAGUCGUACGCUUCUUUUUCCACCGGAGCUUGCUCCACCGGAAAAAGAAGAGUGGCGAACGGGUGAGUAACACGUGGGUAACCUGCCCAUCAGAAGGGGAUAACACUUGGAAACAGGUGCUAAUACCGUAUAACAAUCGAAACCGCAUGGUUUUGAUUUGAAAGGCGCUUUCGGGUGUCGCUGGUGGAUGGACCCGCGGUGCAUUAGCUAGUUGGUGAGGUAACGGCUCACCAAGGCUACGAUGCAUAGCCGACCUGAGAGGGUGAUCGGCCACAUUGGGACUGAGACACGGCCCAAACUCCUACGGGAGGCAGCAGUAGGGGAUCUUCGGCAAUGGACGAAAGUCUGACCGAGCAACGCCGCGUGAGUGAAGAAGGUUUUCGGAUCGUAAAACUCUGUUGUUAGAGAAGAACAAGGAUGAGAGUAACUGUUCAUCCCUUGACGGUAUCUAACCAGAAAGCCACGGCUAACUACGUGCCAGCAGCCGCGGUAAUACGUAGGUGGCAAGCGUUGUCCGGAUUUAUUGGGCGUAAAGCGAGCGCAGGCGGUUUCUUAAGUCUGAUGUGAAAGCCCCCGGCUCAACCGGGGAGGGUCAUUGGAAACUGGGAGACUUGAGUGCAGAAGAGGAGAGUGGAAUUCCAUGUGUAGCGGUGAAAUGCGUAGAUAUAUGGAGGAACACCAGUGGCGAAGGCGGCUCUCUGGUCUGUAACUGACGCUGAGGCUCGAAAGCGUGGGGAGCAAACAGGAUUAGAUACCCUGGUAGUCCACGCCGUAAACGAUGAGUGCUAAGUGUUGGAGGGUUUCCGCCCUUCAGUGCUGCAGCUAACGCAUUAAGCACUCCGCCUGGGGAGUACGACCGCAAGGUUGAAACUCAAAGGAAUUGACGGGGGCCCGCACAAGCGGUGGAGCAUGUGGUUUAAUUCGAAGCAACGCGAAGAACCUUACCAGGUCUUGACAUCCUUUGACCACUCUAGAGAUAGAGCUUCCCCUUCGGGGGCAAAGUGACAGGUGGUGCAUGGUUGUCGUCAGCUCGUGUCGUGAGAUGUUGGGUUAAGUCCCGCAACGAGCGCAACCCUUAUUGUUAGUUGCCAUCAUUCAGUUGGGCACUCUAGCAAGACUGCCGGUGACAAACCGGAGGAAGGUGGGGAUGACGUCAAAUCAUCAUGCCCCUUAUGACCUGGGCUACACACGUGCUACAAUGGGAAGUACAACGAGUCGCGAAGUCGCGAGGCUAAGCUAAUCUCUUAAAGCUUCUCUCAGUUCGGAUUGUAGGCUGCAACUCGCCUACAUGAAGCCGGAAUCGCUAGUAAUCGCGGAUCAGCACGCCGCGGUGAAUACGUUCCCGGGCCUUGUACACACCGCCCGUCACACCACGAGAGUUUGUAACACCCGAAGUCGGUGAGGUAACCUUUUGGAGCCAGCCGCCUAAGGUGGGAUAGAUGAUUGGGGUG
rnacentral:rRNA from 1 species